UCUCGCUCAGAUUGAACGCUGGCGGCAGGCCUAACACAUGCAAGUCGAGCGGUAGCACAGAGAGCUUGCUCUCGGGUGACGAGCGGCGGACGGGUGAGUAAUGUCUGGGAAACUGCCUGAUGGAGGGGGAUAACUACUGGAAACGGUAGCUAAUACCGCAUAACGUCGCAAGACCAAAGUGGGGGACCUUCGGGCCUCAUGCCAUCAGAUGUGCCCAGAUGGGAUUAGCUAGUAGGUGGGGUAACGGCUCACCUAGGCGACGAUCCCUAGCUGGUCUGAGAGGAUGACCAGCCACACUGGAACUGAGACACGGUCCAGACUCCUACGGGAGGCAGCAGUGGGGAAUAUUGCACAAUGGGCGCAAGCCUGAUGCAGCCAUGCCGCGUGUGUGAAGAAGGCCUUCGGGUUGUAAAGCACUUUCAGCGGGGAGGAAGGCGUUAAGGUUAAUAACCUCAUCGAUUGACGUUACCCGCAGAAGAAGCACCGGCUAACUCCGUGCCAGCAGCCGCGGUAAUACGGAGGGUGCAAGCGUUAAUCGGAAUUACUGGGCGUAAAGCGCACGCAGGCGGUCUGUCAAGUCGGAUGUGAAAUCCCCGGGCUCAACCUGGGAACUGCAUUCGAAACUGGCAGGCUAGAGUCUUGUAGAGGGGGGUAGAAUUCCAGGUGUAGCGGUGAAAUGCGUAGAGAUCUGGAGGAAUACCGGUGGCGAAGGCGGCCCCCUGGACAAAGACUGACGCUCAGGUGCGAAAGCGUGGGGAGCAAACAGGAUUAGAUACCCUGGUAGUCCACGCCGUAAACGAUGUCGAUUUGGAGGUUGUGCCCUUGAGGCGUGGCUUCCGGAGCUAACGCGUUAAAUCGACCGCCUGGGGAGUACGGCCGCAAGGUUAAAACUCAAAUGAAUUGACGGGGGCCCGCACAAGCGGUGGAGCAUGUGGUUUAAUUCGAUGCAACGCGAAGAACCUUACCUGGUCUUGACAUCCACAGAACUUUCCAGAGAUGGAUUGGUGCCUUCGGGAACUGUGAGACAGGUGCUGCAUGGCUGUCGUCAGCUCGUGUUGUGAAAUGUUGGGUUAAGUCCCGCAACGAGCGCAACCCUUAUCCUUUGUUGCCAGCGGUCCGGCCGGGAACUCAAAGGAGACUGCCAGUGAUAAACUGGAGGAAGGUGGGGAUGACGUCAAGUCAUCAUGGCCCUUACGACCAGGGCUACACACGUGCUACAAUGGCAUAUACAAAGAGAAGCGACCUCGCGAGAGCAAGCGGACCUCAUAAAGUAUGUCGUAGUCCGGAUUGGAGUCUGCAACUCGACUCCAUGAAGUCGGAAUCGCUAGUAAUCGUAGAUCAGAAUGCUACGGUGAAUACGUUCCCGGGCCUUGUACACACCGCCCGUCACACCAUGGGAGUGGGUUGCAAAAGAAGUAGGUAGCUUAACCUUCGGGAGGGCGCUUACCACUUUGUGAUUCAUGACUGGGGUGAAGUCGUAACAGGGAAA
rnacentral:rRNA from 1 species